rnacentral:rRNA from 1 species
GACGAACGCUGGCGGCGUGCUUAACACAUGCAAGUCGAGCGGUAAGGCCCUUUCGGGGGUACACAAGCGGCGAACGGGUGAGUAACACGUGGGUGACCUGCCUUUAGCUCUGGGAUAAGCCUGGGAAACCGGGUCUAAUACCGGAUAUGACUCCGCGGCGCAUGUUGUGGGGUGGAAAGCCUUGUGCGGCUGGAGAUGGGCCCGCGGCCUAUCAGCUUGGUUGGUGGGGUGAUGGCCUACCAAGGCGACGACGGGUAGCCGGCCUGAGGAGGGCGACCGGCCACACUGGGACUGAGACACGGCCCAGACUCCUACGGGAGGCAGCAGUGGGGAAUCUUGCGCAAUGGGCGAAAGCCUGACGCAGCGACGCCGCGUGAGGGAUGACGGCC